rnacentral:rRNA from 1 species
UACGUAGGGUGCGAGCGUUGUCCGGAAUUAUUGGGCGUAAAGAGCUUGUAGGCGGUUUGUCGCGUCUGCCGUGAAAAUCCGAGGCUCAACCUCGGACUUGCGGUGGGUACGGGCAGACUAGAGUGUGGUAGGGGAGACUGGAAUUCCUGGUGUAGCGGUGAAAUGCGCAGAUAUCAGGAGGAACACCGAUGGCGAAGGCAGGUCUCUGGGCCACUACUGACGCUGAGAAGCGAAAGCAUGGGAGCGAACAGG